CUCUCUCUCUCGAGGGUCUGUUCUUGCUCAAUUACUCGAGCAGGUGUUUUGGAAAUUGAAACCGAUUUUGGGUUUUGAUGCUUUCAUCGUUCUUUUUAUUCUUUUAGAUUUUUGUAACUUAUGAUUGUUCUUCUCCUUUGCAGAACUACCUUCUGCUACUGGCCUCUUCUUCCCCCUUCCACAGUAGCAUCUGCUAUUGCCGUCUUCUUCCCCCUUUCACUUCCACAGCAGAAGCAUCUGGAACUACUGCCAUCUUCUUCCCCCUUCGACUUUCACAGCAGAAGCAUCUGGAACUACUGUUGUUCUCCCUUCCACAGUAGAAGUAUAUGGAAGACUGGAACAAACAAAUAAUCGAGUUAAACGAGUCGGUCGAGUCAAUCUCGAGCUCGAACACAAUCAAUCGAGUCAAGCUCGAGCUACCAUUGUAAAGCUCGACUCGAGUUCGAGCCGAGCUCGAGCUGACCAAAACAAGAGUCGAGCCGAGCUCGAGCUGACUGAGCUCGGGCUCCACUCGGCUCGUGUUCAGCCCUAACCACAAGCUGAGUUUGCAUAUAAUAACUCAGUCAAUCGUUCCACUGGGAAGACUCCUUUUCAAGUAGUAUAUGGUCGGUCUCUGAACCAUGUUGUUGACUUGUCCCUAGUACCUGGUGCUGGAGAACAUGCUCCGGCGACACGUGUUGCUAUUGAAUAUAUGUGUGAUGUCUAUAGUCAAGUGAAACUGAAGUUCCAAGAGAGGUAUGAAACCUACAAGUCCCUUGUUGAUCGGAGUCGUCUAGAUGUCAACUUUGAGGUAGGUCAACAAGUUUGGGUCUACCUACGACCUGAGCGUUGUCCUGUUGGUACUUAUAGUAAGUUAAGUCCUACGAAAUAUGACCUUUUCCACAUCAGUCGUCGUCUAGGAACAAAUGCUUAUCUGUUUGAGCUUCCUGAGGAUUGGCAAAUUUCGCCGAUCUUCAAUGUUUCUGGUCUGUUUCCCUACUCUGGUGACAUUGAUUCGUUAAAGACGACUUUUUUCCAACCAAGGGAGAAUGAUGCAGAGCAGGACCAGACACGUCACUCUCCUGGUUCCAAUUCCCCACCUCAGGUCCCACCUUUGGGCAUCAGUGUAGAUCAUGAAUCUUUAGUCGUGGAAUUCCACGCGGACCCGGAGCAUAGUUGAGAGGAAGUGCCCCUGCGUAGAUACUCGAGGCGCACCAAGGGUUGAAUUCAUCUCAGCUACUAGUGUCACCAACUUUGUGUCUAUUAAAUUGGAUGGGUGAACUCCAAGGGCUGGUGGAAUCAGUAGAAUCAGAUGGAAAUGGAGCCCAAUCAUCUACAAGCAGUGUCGUGUUAGAACUGAUGCCCAUCAAGGAUAUUUUGCUGAAUUAUAGUGCACAUUGCACAUCAUGGUUAUUUUUGGUGAAUUCGCCGAUGGACGUGAACAUAAUGAAUGAAGUUUUUGAGCGGAGGAAGACACAAAGGUGGAGAAGACAUUGAAUCAAUAUCAUCAAUCUUUGAUCAAUCAAAUAAAAAUUUCUUUUGAAAACUAGACACUGGAUAAACAUGUGUAUAAUUUUUUCUGAUUUGUAUAAUUUUGUACUUUUUUAAUGAAAUUUCUAUUGUGAAAAUUUCUUUUCAA